AUUGAACGCUGGCGGCAUGCCUUACACAUGCAAGUCGAACGGUAACAGAUCUUCGGAUGCUGACGAGUGGCGAACGGGUGAGUAAUACAUCGGAACGUGCCUAGUAGUGGGGGAUAACUACUCGAAAGAGUGGCUAAUACCGCAUGAGAUCUACGGAUGAAAGCAGGGGAUCGCAAGACCUUGUGCUACUAGAGCGGCCGAUGGCAGAUUAGGUAGUUGGUGGGAUAAAAGCUUACCAAGCCGACGUUCUGUAGCUGGUCUGAGAGGACGAUCAGCCACACUGGGACUGAGACACGGCCCAGACUCCUACGGGAGGCAGCAGUGGGGAAUUUUGGACAAUGGGCGCAAGCCUGAUCCAGCAAUGCCGCGUGCAGGAUGAAGGCCUUCGGGUUGUAAACUGCUUUUGUACGGAACGAAAAGCCCCGGGUUAAUACCCUGGGGUCAUGACGGUACCGUAAGAAUAAGCACCGGCUAACUACGUGCCAGCAGCCGCGGUAA
rnacentral:rRNA from 1 species